ensembl:lncRNA
UGUGCCAGGAAACGUGCUAAUUGCCAGGUGUGACACGUUAACCUCCUCUGGAGGAAGUGCGUGAGAAGCAGUUCAGCUGCUGGCUGAAGUGAAGUCACAGCCCUAGUAUGUGUAGGUGCUGUAUUACCAUUUGCAGAAGAAAGGAACCUGAUGCAAUCUUCAAGGUGCAGCAUGGCAAAGCUUUGUGAGAUGCUUUUUUCUGUGCUUUGCUUAAAAUGGUGGAAAACAAGUACUUCUUCAAGAAACAUUGGUGAUGCUUCUUACUGGAAUUGCUGAUGGAGUUAAGGCCUGAGCAUCUUCUCUAAGGCUGAAUUGCUGACUAGUUAAAGAUAGUAGGGCAGCAGAACCGCCCCAGAAACCUUCAGUCUCAGCAGAUUCACAUGCAUAAGAAAUUGCAAAGGUAGGUCAUUUUUCUUUCUUUCUUUCUUUUUUACUGGAAAAAAAUUAUAAGGAAUACUUUCAGGAUGAAGCAUUCUAAUUUGAACUUGGUUUGGACAUGUUAUUUUUGAAUGUGCCAGAAGAGCACUUGGCAGAUGGAGGAGAAUAGAAUAGAGCUUCUCUAUUACAAAGCUCUCUUCCCAGUGCCUAACAAGAGGUCACUUUUUAAAUGUUCUUUGCCAAGAUCAUUGCAGAGGAAUGUUCCUGGACUGAGGCAUAAGGACCAUGGCCACUCUGUUUGGUCAUGUAUGUUCUUUCCCCUGCCCAGUAGUGUUAUUGACUUUAAUCCUCUUCCCUCCCAGAAUUAUUUUCUUUCCUGGUAGAAAUGAUAUUUGUAGAUGUGGAAGAGAAGGCUGGAGCUCUGACAGAAUAUUGGGUACAGAGCAGUACAGACCAUUAGAACAAGCUUUGUGUGAUGAGUCAGAGGGUUUAAGCUUCUGUUAUGCUCUGAAUUGUUGUACUUCAGAAUUUUGCCAAGAUGUUGAAAAAGUUGCUGUAGUCUGUGAAACUUAUUAAAUGAUUGACUUCUAGUAGGAGAGUGCACUGAGGUGUGGGUGGUUGGAUAUAUCCAACGUGGCUUGAGACAUCUGAAAUAAUAAAAAACAAUUAUAUGUUUUAGUCUCUUGACUGAAAUAGCAAAUAUCUCGCUCUGCAUAAAAAAAGUAGGUAAAAGUGUGGACAAGUGAAUGUCUUGGUCUUUUAAGUUAUAAACUCAAGGUCUCUUUGACUUUAGA